rnacentral:rRNA from 1 species
GUGUCAGCCGCCGCGGUAAUACGGAGGAUGCAAGCGUUAUCCGGAAUGAUUGGGCGUAAAGGGUCCGCAGGUGGUACUGUAAGUCUGCUGUUAAAGAGUCUAGCUCAACUAGAUAAAAGCAGUGGAAACUACAGAACUAGAGUGCGUUCGGGGCAGAAGGAAUUCCUGGUGUAGCGGUGAAAUGCGUAGAUAUCAGGAAGAACACCGGUGGCGAAAGCGUUCUGCUAGGCCGCAACUGACACUGAGGGACGAAAGCUAGGGGAGCGAAUGGGAUUAGAAACCCCUGUAGUCC